GGGUCGCACUAGGACGGAGGGACAGGAGGAGGCUGCGGUUUUAGGGUGGGGAAUCUUAAGAGUUGACGUUUAUUUGCCAUCUGGGACAAGUACAGAUAUGUUGAAAUGAUUGGUCUUUCUAAUCUCAACAUUUCCUUGCGGUCUGUCCUCGUCAAAUACAUCUUCAUUCUUCAGCUGAACAUUCUUUGCAGAAAUAUGCAAACCAUAACUUCAAAAUGGUGACAAAUGUUGCUCGUGAAACUGUAUCGUCUCACUUACAAUAUGCCAAGUCCAAGUGACAGGAUUCCCCGAGUCUGCUCGCUGUUUGGUGUCUGACCUGGAGAGCAGCUGCCUCUGGCUUCUGCACACCCUGAAGAGGCCUCUGCUGUGUCCCUUCCAGCUCUGCCCCCACCGGCCCCCCAUCGCUGUGUCCACAGGACCACAUGAGAGAAGGUAAGAGGUGCGUGUGUGUGGUGUGGGUGUGUGGGCAUGUCGAAUACAUGUCUGUGUUUCUGCUUGUGCCAGGAGUCGUUUACCUGGAACUCUUCUUAGACACGGUGUUGGCUCCUGUUUUUUUCUGCGGCUCACGAGGAAGCCAAACAUAUAUCAAGUUCAAAUCAGCAACUAUAUUUAUUUUUUGUUUUGUUUGGAUUUGAAUAUUUGUUAUUGUGGUUACUUUAAAAAACACCUAGAAUUGAUAGGCUAUGAAUAAUUCUGAAUGUGUGUUAUUGACAGUUUUGUCUUAAGUGGUUUAUCAUUAGCGUCAAAUAUGUUUACUAUUCUCAGCUAGGUUUUUAAUCCUACCUUUCUUCCUCUUUUUGACAUGGCUGCUAUUCUGCCUGUUCUCGGUGAGUGGGCAUGUGAGUGUUCUCCCAAUCUUUCACAUCAGAGGCCUUGACAACACAUCGGUGUGUCACAAUGCAUGAGGGGAAGAACAUUCCAGAGCACGUAUUACUUUGUUUUCAAAGAAUACUGAGUCGUCAUCAUCAUCCCCAUCAACAUAGAAAGUACUGUACUACAAUACUACUAUAACUCACAUAUAUGACCUCUGACAUGAAUGUAAAAAUAGUCAGUUAAAACAAAUACAUUCUCUUUUCACCUUUUAUUUCGUUUUUUUUUGUAGCCUUACCAGGGGCAACACAGCAACUCAAAGACCAAACGACAAGUACACAGAGACAAAACAGAAAGUUGAUAAUUAUCAGUCAAGUACGAACAGAAAGACGUCAUUCACCCGCUCAUUCCUACACUCGACCGUCAUUGAGAGAGGACAGUGCAUAUAUUUUUUACAGCUGACAUGAGUGGUGUCACAACGCGUAGAUAAGUACAAAAUCUAAAGAACAGCGUGGAAA